UUCUCCAUUUCAACAAUGCAAUUUUGUCUCUCUCAAAACUAUACCCACUUCACUGCAAGAAUCAAGACUCCUCUUUGUCCUAUAACUCACGUGCGUUCCUGCUCAUUGACCAUUAAGUCACGUGCCACCAUCGCCGGCGAGUCAGAUAUGGCGGCGUCCUCAGUCCGUGUUGCUGCAGCUCAGAUGACCUCAAUCAAUGACCUGGCGGCCAAUUUCGCUACAUGCUCUCGCCUUGUCAAAGAAGCAGCCGCUGCUGGUGCUAAAUUGCUCUGUUUACCAGAAAGUUUUGCUUUUAUUGGGGCAAAAGAUGGGGACAGUAUAAAGAUUGCUGAACCUUUGGAUGGUCCAAUUAUGCAACAAUAUUGCUCUCUUGCCAGAGAGUCUGGCAUUUGGUUAUCACUUGGAGGCUUCCAAGAAAGAGGAUCUGAUGAUGCACACCUACGCAACACACAUGUUAUCAUUGAUGACAGUGGGAAUAUUAGAAGCACUUAUCGAAAAAUAUUCUUGUUUGAUGUAGAUGUUCCUGGUGGAAGGGUAUACAAGGAAAGCAGCUUUACUGAAGCUGGAAAGGAUAUAGUUGCUGUUGAUAGCCCAGUUGGACGAUUGGGUUUGUCAGUUUGCUAUGAUUUAAGAUUCCCAGAGCUCUACCAGCAGCUCAGGUUCCAACAUGAAGCACAGAUUCUAUUGGUACCUGCAGCUUUUACCAAAAUAACUGGUCAUGCUCACUGGGAAAUUCUGCUUCGAGCUCGUGCAAUCGAAACUCAAUGCUUUGUAAUAGCUGCUGCACAAGCUGGGAAGCAUAAUGAUAAAAGAGAAAGCCAUGGUGAAACAUUAAUAAUUGAUCCUUGGGGAACAGUGGUUGGUAGAUUACCGGAUAGACUCUCAACAGGUAUUACCGUAGCUGAUAUUGAUUUUUCAUUGAUUGACUCAGUGAGAGCAAAGAUACCGAUUGCCCAGUAGACGGGGGUGAUGAGUCUCAACUCUGCUGUUAGGCUGGGUUUGGGUUAUGCAGCAGCCAGCAACGGAAACCCAUUGAUUUCUGGAAAUCUGCAUCUCUUUGAUUUACAAAGAUGGAGUUCCACCACAUCUGUUAUUAUUAUCUAGAUGGUAUGUUCGAAGCCUCAUGAAAUUCUUAUUGCGUCGUAAUUCAAGGACAGGCCGUGAAUACUCUUCUUAAGGUGUAUAAUAUAGUUAUGCGUCAGUGAAUUGCAAAAUAGGUUAAAAUUUCUCUUAUCAAGAAGCUGCUUUGUGUGCUUCAAGUUAUGCAUAUCUAUGUCAUUAGAUUCUUGGACUGUAAGCCAAGAAAUGAUUCAUUAUUUUUCAGUAGCUGACUUGAUGCGAAGAUUAUAGAGAAUUCAGACAUUUUACUGUCUUUCCUUAUUUCUGGAUGUGCCAAAGUCAUUUUCUGGAUUAGAUGUGCCAAGUUAUUAGAAUCAAAAUGAUUAGAAUCCAAAUUUGAAUUUA